GGGGAUUUAGUUCAGUGGUAGAGCACUUGCCUAGCAAGUGCAAGGCCCUGGGUUCAGUCCCCA
rfam:Rattus norvegicus chromosome 7, whole genome shotgun sequence.